CCUACGGGAGGCAGCAGUAAGGAAUAUUGGUCAAUGGGCGGAAGCCUGAACCAGCCAUGCCGCGUGCAGGAAGACGGCCCUACGGGUUGUAAACUGCUUUUGUACCGGAAUAAACCUUGAUUCGUGAAUCAAGCUGAAUGUACGGUAAGAAUAAGGAUCGGCUAACUCCGUGCCAGCAGCCGCGGUAAUACGGAGGAUCCAAGCGUUAUCCGGAUUUAUUGGGUUUAAAGGGUGCGUAGGCGGCCAGUUAAGUCAGGGGUGAAAGACGGUAGCUCAACUAUCGCAGUGCCUUUGAUACUGACUGGCUUGAAUGUACUUGAGGUAGGCGGAAUGUGACAAGUAGCGGUGAAAUGCAUAGAUAUGUCACAGAACACCAAUUGCGAAGGCAGCUUACUAAAGUAUGAUUGACGCUGAGGCACGAAAGCGUGGGGAUCAAACAGGAUUAGAUACCCUGGUAGUCCACGCCCUAAACGAUGAAUACUCGAUGUUGGCGAUAUACAGUCAGCGUCAAAGCGAAAGCGUUAAGUAUUCCACCUGGGGAGUACGCCCGCAGGGUGAAACUUAAUGAAUUGACGGNGUGAGAGNGCGACGACGACGACGAGGGAGGAGG
rnacentral:rRNA from 1 species